GACGAACGCUGGCGGCGUGCCUAAUACAUGCAAGUCGAACGAGAGCGACCGGUGCUUGCACUGGUCAAUCUAGUGGCGAACGGGUGAGUAACACGUGGGUAACCUGCCCAUCAGAGGGGGAUAACAUCCGGAAACGGAUGCUAAAACCGCAUAGGUCUUCGAACCGCAUGGUUUGAAGAGGAAAAGAGGCGCAAGCUUCUGCUGAUGGAUGGACCCGCGGUGCAUUAGCUAGUUGGUGAGGUAACGGCUCACCAAGGCCGUGAUGCAUAGCCGACCUGAGAGGGUGAUCGGCCACAUUGGGACUGAGACACGGCCCAAACUCCUACGGGAGGCAGCAGUAGGGAAUCUUCCGCAAAGGACGCAAGUCUGACGGAGCAACGCCGCGUGAGUGAAGAAGGUGUUCGGAUCGUAAAACUCUGUUGUUAGAGAAGAACAAGUGCUAGAGUAACUGUUAGCGCCUUGACGGUAUCUAACCAGAAAGCCACGGCUAACUACGUG
rnacentral:rRNA from 1 species